rnacentral:rRNA from 1 species
GGGCCCUACGGGAGGCAGCAGUGGGGAAUAUUGGGCAAUGGGCGCAAGCCUGACCCAGCAACGCCGCGUGAAGGAAGAAGGCUUUCGGGUUGUAAACUUCUUUUGACAGGGAAGAGCAGAAGACGGUACCUGUCGAAUAAGCCACGGCUAACUACGUGCCAGCAGCCGCGGUAAUACGUAGGUGGCAAGCGUUGUCCGGAUUUACUGGGUGUAAAGGGCGUGUAGCCGGGCUGACAAGUCAGAAGUGAAAGCCCGGGGCUCAACUCCGGGACUGCUUUUGAAACUGUAUGGCUAGAUUGCAGGAG